rfam:Lysinibacillus sp. BF-4 contig00015, whole genome shotgun sequence.
AUUUGAGAUAGAGGCGCAAGUUUCAUGAGUAUACAAUGCGAGAGUGAGCAAACUCCGUGACCAUUGUAAAAAGGGACACUUGCCGAAGCCAUAGCCAGUUGUUCCUGGUAGUGGGCUGGUUUUGCAUUGAAUAAAUGUAAAACUGUCGAAAUGUUUAUUUCGUUGAGCUAUCUGCCAU